UACGUAGGGUGCGAGCGUUAAUCGGAAUUACUGGGCGUAAAGUGUGCGCAGGCGGCCGCGCAAGUCGAGUGUGAAAGCCCCGAGCUUAACUUGGGAAUUGCGCUCGAAACUACGUGGCUGGAGUGUGGCAGAGGAAGGUGGAAUUCCAGGUGUAGCGGUGAAAUGCGUAGAGAUCUGGAGGAACACCGAUGGCGAAGGCAGCCUUCUGGGCCAACACUGACGCUCAUGCACGAAAAGCGCGGGGAGCAAACAGG
rnacentral:rRNA from 1 species